UCUUAUCAAGAGAAGUGGAGGGAUUAGGCCCUGUGAUACUUCGGCAACCUCUGUUGUACAGAAAGGUGCUAAUUCCUAACAAGACGAUCUUGGAAGAUAAGA
rnacentral:ncRNA from 1 species